GGAAGUGCUGGUAGCUGAGUGCCAAAUCCGAUGCAGUCUGAGCAAUGUACACCAGCAGCGCCAGACAUGUUGGCACUAUGUAGGAUACGUAGAUGCGUGUGCGACUCCGCACUGUAUAGCCGAGUAUGUGUGGCGGUGGACUGGCGGCAUGUCCCACCUCCAUUGCAAUGAUGUUGAUGUCACCUGCGCUUGCGAAAUGCGUGCUGACACUGACCCGCUCAGAGGCUAUGAGUAACCGCCGCUCUCCCAACAUCGCUUGCCCCCUUAUCAGUGGGUAGGGCUGUGGACCAAGAUAAGAUAAUUGCCAACGUUUGUGUGGUUUACAUUACUGGCACCUAGGAAUCGUACCAGGUUUUCUUCAUCCAAUUGGAAGGCUUGCACGGCUCGUCGAGCACCACAAAGGCACCCGGCGGAUCCCUUUGGC